GACGAACGCUGGCGGCGUGCUUAACACAUGCAAGUCGAACGGAAAGGCCUCUUUCGGGGGGUACUCGAGCGGCGAACGGGUGAGUAACACGUGAGUAACCUGCCCUUGACCUUGGGAUAACUUCAGGAAACUGGGGCUAAUACCGGAUAGGAGCUCCUGCUGCAUGGUGGGGGUUGGAAAGUUUCGGCGGUUGGGGAUGGACUCGCGGCUUAUCAGCUUGUUGGUGGGGUAGUGGCUUACCAAGGCUUUGACGGGUAGCCGGCCUGAGAGGGUGACCGGCCACAUUGGGACUGAGAUACGGCCCAGACUCCUACGGGAGGCAGCAGUGGGGAAUAUUGCACAAUGGGUGGAAGCCUGAUGCAGCAACGCCGUGUGCGGGAUGACGGCCUUCGGGUUGUAAACCGCUUUCGCUCAUGACGAAGCUUUGUGUGACGGUAGUGGGUAAAGAAGCACCGGCUAACUACGUG
rnacentral:rRNA from 1 species